rnacentral:rRNA from 1 species
GACGAACGCUGGCGGCGUGCCUAAUACAUGCAAGUCGAGCGCUGAAGGCUGGUACUUGUACCAACUGGGUGAGCAGCGAACGGGUGAGUAACGCGUGGGGAAUCUGCCUUUGAGCGGGGGACAAUCUUUGGAAACGAAUGCUAAUACCGCAUAAAAACUUUAAACACAAGUUUUAAGUUUGAAAGAUGCCAUUGCAUCACUCAAAGAUGAUCCCGCGUUGUAUUAGCUAGUUGGUGAGGUAAAGGCUCACCAAGGCGAUGAUACAUAGCCGACCUGAGAGGGUGAUCGGCCACAUUGGGACUGAGACACGGCCCAAACUCCUACGGGAGGCAGCAGUAGGGAAUCGUCGGCAAUGGACGAAAGUCUGACCGAGCAACGCCGAGUGAGUGAAGAAGGUUUUCGGAUCGUAAAACUCUGUUGGUAGGGAAGAACGUUGGUGAGAGUGGAAAGCUCAUCAAGUGACGGUAACUACCCAGAAAGGGACGGCUAACUACGUG